AUCUGGCUUAGUUAUGAGGCAUAUAUAAAGUAAUACUUAUUAGUAUUUUUCAGGCUUGCAUUGAGGGGACUGUGGUGAUUAGUUUAUUGCCCCCAAACAGCCUUGGACAUAU